AAUUAAAGUUUUCAUCCAUUUCUACUGUUAAAAACUGGCAUGGCUGACGGAUAACAAAACAGUUACAUGUGGUGUGCCACAUGUAACUCAUUUCGACGUGUACCUCGUGUUAAUGUGCAUGGACUAGUUUUUAAUAGUAGAAGUGGAUGGAAUUUUUAACU
rfam:Gossypium raimondii Chr03_contig_67, whole genome shotgun sequence.